rnacentral:rRNA from 1 species
UACGAAGGGGGCUAGCGUUGUUCGGAAUCACUGGGCGUAAAGCGCACGUAGGCAGAUGUGUCAGUCAGGGGUGAAAUCCCGGAGCUCAACUCCGGAACUGCCUCUGAUACAGCACGUCUUGAGUCCGGAAGAGGUGGGUGGAAUUCCUAGUGUAGAGGUGAAAUUCGUAGAUAUUAGGAAGAACACCGGUGGCGAAGGCGACCCACUGGUCCGGUACUGACGCUGAGGUGCGAAAGCGUGGGGAGCAAACAGG